CCUACGGGGGACAGCAGUGAGGAAUAUUGGUCAAUGGGCGCGAGCCUGAACCAGCCAAGUAGCGUGAAGGAUGACUGCCCUACGGGUUGUAAACUUCUGUUAUAAAGGAAUAAAGUGAGGCACGUGGGCCGUUUUGUAUGUACUUUAUGAAUAAGGAUCGGCUAACUCCGUGCCAGCAGCCGCGGUAAUACGGAGGAUCCGAGCGUUAGCCGGAGUUAUUGGGUUUAAAGGGAGCGUAGAUGGGUUGUUAAGUCAGUUGUGAAAGUUUGCGGCUCAACCGUAAAAUUGCAAUUGAUACUGGCAGCCUUGUGUACAGUUGAGGUAGGCGGCAUUCGUGGUGUCGCGG
rnacentral:rRNA from 1 species